ACGGGUGCGUAACGCGUGGGAAUCUGCCCCUUGGUUCGGAAUAACAGUUGGAAACGACUGCUAAUACCGGAUGAUGACGUAAGUCCAAAGAUUUAUCGCCGAGGGAUGAGCCCGCGUAGGAUUAGGUAGUUGGUGUGGUAAAGGCGCACCAAGCCGACGAUCCUUAGCUGGUCUGAGAGGAUGAUCAGCCACACUGGGACUGAGACACGGCCCAGACUCCUACGGGAGGCAGCAGUGGGGAAUAUUGGACAAUGGGCGAAAGCCUGAUCCAGCAAUGCCGCGUGAGUGAUGAAGGCCUUAGGGUUGUAAAGCUCUUUUACCCGGGAUGAUAAUGACAGUACCGGGAGAAUAAGCUCCGGCUAACUCCGUGCCAGCAGCCGCGGUAAUACGGAGGGAGCUAGCGUUAUUCGGAAUUACUGGGCGUAAAGCGCACGUAGGCGGCUUUGUAAGUAAGAGGUGAAAGCCCAGAGCUCAACUCUGGAAUUGCCUUUUAGACUGCAUCGCUUGAAUCAUGGAGAGGCUAAGUGGAAUUCCGAGUGUAGAGGUGAAAUUCGUAGA
rnacentral:rRNA from 1 species